AUUGAACGCUGGCGGCAGGCCUAACACAUGCAAGUCGAACGGCAGCGGGGGGUAGCUUGCUACUCCGCCGGCGAGUGGCGGACGGGUGAGUAAUGCCUGGGGAGCUGCCCAAUCGAGGGGGAUACCAGUUGGAAACGACUGCUAAUACCGCAUACGCCCUGAGGGGGAAAGGUGGGGAUCUUCGGACCUACCGCGAUUGGAUGCACCCAGGUGGGAUUAGCUAGUUGGUGAGGUAACGGCUCACCAAGGCGACUAGCCCUAGCUGGUCUGAGAGGAUGACCAGCCACACUGGAACUGAGACACGGUCCAGACUCCUACGGGAGGCAGCCGUGGGGAAUAUUGCACAAUGGGGGAAACCCUGAUGCAGCCAUGCCGCGUGUGUGAAGAAGGCCUUCGGGUUGUAAAGCACUUUCAGCGAGGAGGAAAGGUGGCUAGCUAAUACCUAGUUGCUGUGACGUUACUCGCAGAAGAAGCACCGGCUAACUCCGUGCCAGCCGCCGCCGUAA
rnacentral:rRNA from 1 species